AACAUCCUCAACCUGCUUGGUUUUAUUGAACCAAGUAGGCUUGGAAUUUGGAGGUUUUCUGCUGGCCUCCUCCGAAGCCAGCUCCUCUUAAAUGUAUCAGUGGGAUCUGCUUUGCUAGAUCCUCGACAUUGAUAAGAUGUUUCUAUGUCUUGGGUUUCGCUCAGGAAGGAACCUGCUUCUAACCAUCCCAUCAGGGACAAUGUUCAAGCUGAUCGCCCUUCACAGGGUGGGAAGCUUUCGACCCAUGAAA
rnacentral:misc_RNA from 1 species